rnacentral:misc_RNA from 1 species
GGAAUCGGAGAAGAAACUAGAGACAAGAGUCAUAGGGCCAGGGCUGAAGCCCAUACCGAGGCCAGAGGUGAAGAGCGUAUCGUUGAAUGAGCGAGGCGGGAGAGAGAUGGUAGUUGGGCGGGCAGAAGAAGUGGAAGAGAAUUUAGACGAUGACGGAGGAGAAGAAGAAGAAACCGGCGGCGAGGGGUGGCGGGGUCCAUUAUCAGCCAUUGGAUGAAGAAACAGAAACGUGUUACAGUUGUGGCCUGCAGGCGAGCGGUUAACAACUUUUUCUGUCUAUCCAAACAUA